AACCUGCCUCAUACACAUGGAUAACAUACCGAAAGGUAUGCUAAUACAAGAUGAUAUAAGAGAUUCGCAUGGAUUUCUUAUCAAAGCUCCGGCGGUAUGAGAUGGACCCGCGUCUGAUUAGCUAGUUGGUAAGGUAACGGUUUACCAAGGCGACGAUCAGUAGCCGACCUGAGAGGGUGAUCGGCCACAUUGGAACUGAGACACGGUCCAAACUCCUACGGGAGGCAGCAGUGGGGAAUAUUGCACAAUGGGCGAAAGCCUGAUGCAGCAAUGCCGCGUGAGCGAUGAAGGCCUUCGGGUCGUAAAGCUCUGUCCUCAAGGAAGAUAAUGACGGUACUUGAGGAGGAAGCCCCGGCUAACUACGUGCCAGCAGCCGCGGUAAUACGUAGGGGGCUAGCGUUAUCCGGAUUUACUGGGCGUAAAGGGUGCGUAGGUGGUUUCUUAAGUCAGGAGUGAAAGGCUACGGCUCAACCGUAGUAAGCUCUUGAAACUGGGAAACUUGAGUGCAGGAGAGGAAAGUGGAAUUCCUAGUGUAGCGGUGAAAUGCGUAGAUAUUA
rnacentral:rRNA from 1 species